rnacentral:rRNA from 1 species
GACAGAGGGUGCAAACGUUGCUCGGAAUUACUGGGCGUAAAGCGCGUGUAGGCGGACUGGUGUGUCGGAUGUGAAAUCCCCAGGCUCAACCUGGGAACUGCAUUCGAAACUGCCAGCCUUGAGUGGUGGAGAGGGAAGCGGAAUUCCCGGUGUAGUGGUGGAAUGCGUAGAUAUCGGGAGGAACACCAGUGGCGAAGGCGGCUUCCUGGACCUGUUCUGACACUGAGGAGCGAAAGCGUGGGGAGCGAUCCGG